UCUUUCUUAAGCUUUGAUUUACUGCUAAACUAAUACAUUAGUCCGCCAGUUUUAUUUAGCCUUUUCUAAAAUAUUAAAGUAAUCCUUGUAAUUGAUCUGCCAAUGUACAUUUUUACAAAAAAGUCGAGAAAUUAAGUCCGGGAUAGUAUCGCUUUAUUUUCGAUAAAUAUACAUGCAUAUUAAAAAAAAGUUUGAAGUUAAUAAUAUUUAGAGAAAAGCAUGAAUAAGAAGAAUGUAUUAAGCUUAUUAAGCCUUUAUGUGACAAUGAUUACAUUAAAAAUUUAAUACAAAAUUAAAAAUUAUAGGUAUAUGUACACAAGAAAAGUAAAUGCUCAAAGUUUAUGUUACGGAGAGUGAUGCUCUGAAGCGAUGGUCUAAGCUGCCGUAGGACGGUCGAUAUCUCGGAGUGCGUUGGCUCCAAGGGCUUCUCCUGUUCUUGUAACUGGAGCAAGCGAUGAGACUGUUCAUAGCCGGCGGGCGUGAUUGUUCCACACUGAUACCGUAGCGACGGCUGGAAAAGGAUAGGCUAAUAAUUGUUAAUUUUAUCCAAAUAAUCUAAUAAAAACUUAUUGGUAGAAA